CAAGUUGCUUUUGAAGCAAGCCUCAAGUGGCCACAAGGGAAACUGCAGUCUUUGGGCACUUCUUCAUAUGGCUUGAUUUCUCCUGCCCUGAGUUUGCUGUUUGGAGGACAUCCUCUGUGCCAGUGUUACCCAGAGUGCACCCUUCUGAUCCCCCACUGGGCCUUGAGGGUACUGCAGGUGGGCCAAAAGAAGUCAAGGUCAAGGAGCUCUUCAGGAGAAAUGCUGCUGCUAAUGGAUGAAGAUGAUGAACUUGGUAAAAACUACCUGUGAAUGUAGAUGAUGUUAUCAUACAAAUGUGUCAGUAUAGUAAAGUCUACAACCUCUUUA